CAGCGGAGGGAUCAUUAAAGAGUUCUAUAACUCCCAAACCCAUGUGAACAUACCUAACGUUGCCUCGGCAGGUCGCACCUACCUUGUAGCACCUUACCCUGUAAGGCCUACCCGGGAGGUGCGGGUAAGCCUGCCGGCGGCCCACCAAACUCUGUUUGAUAUUGAAUUCUGAACCUAUAACUAAAUAAGUUAAAACUUUCAACAACGGAUCUCUUGGUUCUGGCAUCGAUGAAGAACGCAGCGAAAUGCGAUAAGUAAUGUGAAUUGCAGAAUUCAGUGAAUCAUCGAAUCUUUGAACGCAUAUUGCGCCCAUUAGUAUUCUAGUGGGCAGGACCGUUCGAGCGUCAUUUCAACCCUUAAGCCUUCGUUGCUUAGUGUUGGGAGCCUACGGCAACGUAGCUCCUCAAAGUUAGUGGCGGAGUUGGUUCACACUCUAGACGUAGUAAUUUUUUAUCUCGCCUAUUAGUUGAACUAAUACCCUGCCGUAAAACCCCCAAUUUAUCAAGGUUGACCUCGAAUCGGUUCAGACAAACUCGCUAAAUUGAAGCAUCUUAGUCAGCGAAGGAAAAGAAACCAACAGGGAUUGCCCUAGUAACGGCG
rnacentral:rRNA from 1 species